AUAGUGGCAGAAGGGUGAGUAACACGUGGGUAACCUACCCCCGAGUCGGGGAUAACCCGCCGAAAGGCGGGCUAAUACCCGAUGACAUUUCCGGAUCGCAUGAUCUGGCAAUCAAAGAUGCCCGCAAGGGUGUCGCUUGAGGAGGGGCCCGCGGCCUAUCAGCUAGUUGGUGAGGUAACGGCUCACCAAGGCUUUUGACGGGUAGCUGGUCUAAGAGGACGGCCAGCCACAUUGGGACUGAGACACUGCCCAGACUCCUACGGGAGGCUGCAGUCGAGGAUCUUUAGCAAUGCCCGAAAGGGUGACUAUGCGACGCCGCGUGCAGGAUGAAGGCCUUCGGGUUGUAAACUGCUGUCAGGGGGGAAGAAACCUCAUGCGUUAAUAGCGCGUGAGCUGACAUCACCCCCAAAGGAAGCCACGGCUAACUCUGUGCCAGCAGCCGCGGUAAGACAGAGGUGGCAAGCGUUGUUCGGAUUCAUUGGGUGUAAAGGGCAGGUAGGUGGUUAUGCAAGUCUGGUGUGAAAUCCCAUGGCUCAACCAUGGAACUGCAUUGGAAACUGCAUGACUUGAGUACUGGAGAGGUGAGGGGAAUUCUCGGUGUAAGGGUGAAAUCUGUAGAUAUCGAGAGGAACACCAGUGGCGAAGGCGCCUCACUGGCCGGUUACUGACACUGAGCUGCGAAAGCAAGGGGAGCAAACAGGAUUAGAUACCCUGGUAGUCCUUGCCGUAAACGAUGUGGAUUAGGUGUCGGAGGUGUCGAUCCCUCCGGUGCCGACGUUAACACAUUAAAUCCACCACCUGGGGGAGUACGGUCGCAAGACUGAAACUCAAAGAAAUUGACGGGGGACCCGCACAAGCGGUGGAGCAUGUGGUUUAAUUUCGAGGCUACGCGA
rnacentral:rRNA from 1 species